rnacentral:rRNA from 1 species
UACGGGGGGGGCAAGCGUUGUUCGGAAUUACUGGGCGUAAAGGGCUCGUAGGCGGCCAACUAAGUCAGACGUGAAAUCCCUCGGCUUAACCGGGGAACUGCGUCUGAUACUGGAUGGCUUGAAUCCGGGAGAGGGAUGCGGAAUUCCAGGUGUAGCGGUGAAAUGCGUAGAUAUCUGGAGGAACACCGGUGGCGAAGGCGGCAUCCUGGACCGGCAUUGACGCUGAGGAGCGAAAGCCAGGAGAGCAAACGGG